rnacentral:sRNA from 4 species
UGUAUCUGAAGUCUGACGAGGAUGAGAACCUCCGGGGGCAAGAGGUUCGACUCGAGCGAAGCGAGAGAACGUUGCGUCAGCAACGGCCCGCA